rnacentral:rRNA from 1 species
UGAGGAACAUGACCUUCGGCGGGGGAUAGCCGGCCCAACGGCCGGGUAAUACCGCGUACGACCACAUGGGGACAUCCCUGAGUGGUGAAAGCAGCAAUGCGCCGAUGGAGUGCCUCGCGGCCUAUCAGCUAGUUGGUGAGGUAACGGCUCACCGAGGCAAUGACGGGUAGCUGGUCUGAGAGGAUGGCCAGCCACAGUUGGGACUGAGACGCCGGCCCAGACCUCCGG